CUCAAAAUCAAUAGGGUUCUACCGCCCCCUAAGGUCCACCUCUGGACAAAGUUUGAAGUUUCUACCUCUAACGGUUGC